rnacentral:misc_RNA from 1 species
GAUGAAGAACGCAGCGAAAUGCGAUAAGUAAUGUGAAUUGCAGAAUUCAGUGAAUCAUCGAAUCUUUGAACGCACCUUGCGCUCCUUGGUAUUCCAAGGAGCAUGCCUGUUUGAGUAUCAUUAAAUUAUCAACUGUGCCAAUUUGGUUACAGAUUGGAUGUGGAAGAUUCUUUUUGCAGGCCUUUGACUUCUCUUUGAGAAAAAAAAUAAAAGGUCGGCUCUCCUGAAAUGUAUUAGCAGUGCCUUUGUUGGUUCAUUAGGUGUGAUAAAUUGUCUACAUCUUCGCAUGAUACCUUCAUUUGUAAAGGUCAUAUUGCUUCUAAAUUGUCUUUGAUUGGACGCAAAACAUAUAUAAUGUUUGACAAACUUGAUCUCAAAUCAGGCAGGACUACCCGCUGAACUUAAGCAUAUCAAUAAGCGGAGGA